rnacentral:lncRNA from 10 species
AGUCUCAAACUGGCAACCUCAGGUGAUCUGCCCGCCUCGGCCUCCCAAAGUGCUGGGAUUAUGGGUGUGAGCCGCCACGCCCAGCCCUGAUUUUGUUUUUUAAAGCCAAAUUUUUGUUUCAUUGGUAUUUCUCUAUUUUUCUGCUUUUGAUUUCAUUUACUUAUUUUUCUUGUUUUUAUUAUUUUCGUCCAUCAUCUCACUUUUGUUUCAUUUUGCUCCUCUUUUCCUAGUUUCUUGAGGUGGGAUUUUAGAAUAUUGAUUUGAGAGCUUCCCUCUUUUCUAGCAUUUACCGUUACAAAUGUCCCUCUCAGCACUGCUUUAGCUGAAUCCCAUAUAUUUUGAUAUGUUGUAUUUUCAGUUUUGUUUCCAAAUGUGUAUGCACCAAACAACAGAGCCUCAAAAUCCAUGAAGCAAAUCUGAUAGAGCUGAAGAUGUAGACAAAUCUGCAAUUAUAGUGGAGGACUCAAAAUCUCUUUGUCAGAAGUUGAUAGAACUACUCUAAGAAAAUCAGCAGGGAUAUAGAAGAACUCAAUAAUACCAUUGACCUGGAGGGUCUGCUUGACACCGAUAGAACACUCCACCCAACAACAGCAGAACAUACAUUCUUUUCAAAUGCCCAUGGAACAUUUGCCAAGAUGGGACACACUAUACACUUCAAUGAAUUUAAAAGAAUCGAAGUCACAGGAUGCACUGUCUAACCUCAUGGUGGAAGAUGAGGACACCAAGCAUGAAGCUGGCCAGCCCCGUGGGGAGGCAGGUGGGACCAUCCAGUUGCAGGAAAACAAGCUUAACACGCC